rnacentral:lncRNA from 10 species
CUUAGUGGCAUCUGGGGUCGAGGAGGGCGACUGUCAGCCAGUUGGGGGAUGUUUUCUUCUUGGUCUCUCGGCUUCUGCUUCCCUGUGAGCUGGGCAGCCUCAGCCCAGGUCCUAUCCGGUACUCAGCUGGCCUCGGUGUGCACAGCGCAGGCUUGAGUGCAGCCGUGGGGGCGGGCGGGGCAGAAGCAGGGCCCCUGGGAACAGCUGAGUCUGAAGGGUCAGAAGCCACGGCCCCUGUGGGGGGCUCUGGGGCAGCCAGGGGAGCUGCUCGUUAGUCGUCUCUGGGGCAGAAGGAAGGGACCUUCACCUGGGUUGGGACUGGGCCUGGGUCCCCAGUCUCACAGGGAGCUCGUCCUGAUUGUACCUGCCCGGCUGUGACGGCUGAGCCCGGGCUCCUGGAGGCAAGGCCACCUCAGGCCUCCAGGGCCGGAGCCGCAAGGAGCUGCUGGGUUUCCACAGGGCCACGGGGGCUGCGGCCACACGGAGCGGGAGCACAGGUAGUGUCAAACACACAAGAUCUACAAAGCCAUAAACUCACAGCUUGGUGAUAUUACCAAGUACUAAUUAAGAAAGAAAAAAGAAAAUUCCCUUUCAUGAUCAAAUUUUGAGCCCUGCCAAAGAUGAAAAACAAGGCAAUUUGCAGCCGAUGGCGACGCCGGAGGGUGGGGACACUGAAGCUGAGCUCACAGCCAGGAGAGGGACAGCAGAGUGACGGCCGAGACCAUCUGCACUGCGAGGGAAGCAGCGCCCACCUUCCUUGGUGGUCCGGGAAGGCCGGACCGGCCCCUUGGGUCCCCACUGGCCUCAGCCACUGUGGGCUCGUCCAGCUUCAGGUUGCCAGGAGAGGCCAGGCCGAGGUCAGGAGGCUCAGCAGCUGGUUCCAUGACUUCCUCUUCGCUGAGGAGGUCAGGACAGAAGCUUCUAGAUGACAGGCCGCCCAACUUGGUAUAAAACAGCAAAUUUCUGUGCCUGUGCUGUCGGGCUGUGAAUGACUUCUCGUCUGUUUCAUGAGAUGCAGCUUCAGCCCAGGGAGCCAUCAGAUGCAGCCGGGCGAGACGCGGAGCCAAGAGCUGUCCUCGCCCC